CGCGUAGGCGGGAUGGCAAGUCGGUCGUGAAAUCCCUCGGCUCAACUGAGGAACGUCGAUCGAUACUGCCAUUCUUGAGGAUUGCAGAGGAGACUGGAAUUCCCGGUGUAGCGGUGAAAUGUGUAGAGAUCGGGAGGAACACCGGUGGCGAAGGCGGGUCUCUGGGCAAUUCCUGACGCUGAGGCGCGAAAGCGUGGGGAGCAAACGGGAUUAGAUACCCCGGUAGUCCACGCUGUAAACGAUGACGACUAGGUGUGGGGGGGUUCAGUCCCCUCCGUGCCGCAGCUAACGCAUUAAGUCGUCCGCCUGGGGAGUACGGCCGCAAGGUUGAA
rnacentral:rRNA from 1 species